rnacentral:rRNA from 1 species
CUACGGAGGGUGCAAGCGUUAUUCGGAAUCACUGGGCGUAAAGGAUGCGUAGGCGGGUUGGCAAGUCAGAUGUGAAAUCCUACAGCUUAACUGUAGAACUGCAUUUGAAACUGCUAACCUAGAGUAUGGGAGGGGGAGAUGGAAUUAGUGGUGUAGGGGUAAAAUCCGUAGAUAUCACUAGGAAUACCGAAAGCGAAGGCGAUCUCCUGGAACAUAACUGACGCUAAGGCGUGAAAGCGUGGGGAGCAAACAGGAUUAGAUACCCUAGUAGUCC